rnacentral:sRNA from 1 species
CGCCGGAGGACCAGCGGCCGCACUGUGAACCUCUUCGUAUACUGAGCAGUUUGAGAAAAACCAUGAAUCGUUAAAACUUUCAACAACGGAUCUCUUGGUUCUGGCAUCGAUGAAGAACGCAGCGAACUGCGAUAAGUAAUGUGAAUUGCAGAAUUCAGUGAACCAUCGAAUCUUUGAACGCACAUUGCGCCCGCCAGCAUUCUGGCGGGCAUGCCUGUCCGAGCGUCAUUUCCACCCUCACGCGCCCCUUUAGUGCGUGGUGUUGGGGCAUACUGCGGCUGCCGCGAGGCACCGCAGGCCCUGAAACCCAGUGGCGGGCCGGCAGAAGGCUCCGAGCGCAGUAAGCAUCACGCCCUCGCUCCGGACGCCCCUGCUGGCAGCUCGCCCUGCGGCGGAAACGCUUGCAGCAACCAUUU